CAGAUUUAGGGUCAGAUUUGAUUUGUUUGUAUUCAGGUAAUUAAAUGAUGUUGGAGGUUGUGAUGCAGCACAAGUAGCACAAGUUCAUCAUGUCCACUGCCCUUCAUUGAAUAUCAGGUUCAAUUUUCUUGAUUUUUUACUUGAGCUGUUACUCAUAGCAUUUUUUUAAUCUGGGUAUCAUAGAGUUGGUGUAGUUAAAUGAUGUAAGGGGAUAAGGAACAAAAUUGUGUAAGACGAUACUAACCUGUACUCAUAUUAGUCCAACAUUGUUGGAUAUUGCUUGGAGAUUUGCCCUUUUUAUAAGAAAUCAAAAACAGUCUGUAAUCUGGACGUGUACGAACGUUGCGUGAACAUUUUUCUGUUUAAAUUGGGCGUCCAAUCUCUGUAAGCUGGGUGUUGCCUGUACUUUAUAUUAGUCCAAUGUUUGCCAGUUCCUGGUUGAUUCCCUAUUUGAUGUGAAUCCAUGAACAAAUAAGUUUAUGAACAAGUUCCUGUUUGCUCCCUGUUUGAUUCAAGUCUGAAAGAUUCAUAGAUGCUACACUUCAGUUAUAAAUGCACAAAAAGUUAGGACUGAUAAUAUUAUGAAAGAAAUAUGUUCCAUCCGCCCCUACCCCUUGUAAAUAUAUAUUUAAAUGUGCAUGCCCACUUUGUCGGAACACCGCCCAAUGCUGGAAGACAAUCCGCCGUCCGACGGUGUUGCACAGUUCGCCGCAACUUUGUCGGCUGGUUCUUCACUUGAGGUAUGUAGACAAGGAGUAUUGAAAUUAUGGUCUUUUGUUUUCUGCAACCUAACGUUCAUUGCUUCAGAUGUGUCUUUGGUCUUAUUUUACUACUGGUUGUGAUUGUGGUACAUAACACUGAUGUUGAAAGCGUGGAUCAGGUCCUAUAUUAGCUAUCUUUGAUUUACAUCCAAAGUUCAGUUAUAAUUAUAGGCUGGAAACUUUAUAUUAUUUUGCUAUCUUAUUUCGUUUGUGAAAGUAGCUGCAACAAGUAGCAGUUUGAAUUGAUGCAAUCAAGUAAGCAAGGCUUUGAUUGUAAAAUUUGUGUGUUGGCAUAGGCUGAAGCAAGCACCUUUACUAUCUGUAUUUGUCUGAAUCUUUUUGUGUUGUCAUAGGCUGAAUCAGUAGUUGGUGCAGCUAGCUGCAGCAAGCACCAGCUUAACUUAAUGCUAGCAUUUACUUGAAGCCUUGAUAUGCUCUUGCCGACUGGGUAAACUAGCACAUCUUCGAUCUGUAUGCUUGAAUCUUUAGUUUGUGCAGCUAGCCACUAGCAAGUAAUUAAAGCCUUGAUCUGCUCUUGCCGACAAAAUAAUCUUGGAAGAAGCAUCUAGAUCACUCCACUAUGGGCCCAUCCAGUAGCUUUUCAAGAUUAUCUGUCACUCCACUAUUUACUGUAUUGUUAUAACUGCUCCCUAUUUGAUUGAACUCCGUGCUGAUUGCAUCUUUGGAAAAUCUGGAAUAUUGUUUGAACAAGGUAAUUGUUGGAGUUUUAACUUCAAUUUUUGUUGUCGUUACACAAAAUGUCGCCUCCGCCGACUUUGCUGGAAGACCAUCAGCCAUCGCCUAGACCGACUUCGCUGAAGGCUCAAGCAAAGCACCUCUUCGAUCUGUACGAUUUGCCAUCUUGUUUCCUUUAUCAAACUAUCUGCAGCAAGUAGAAAUCUGAAUUGAUGCAAGCAAGUAGUAACCAUUAUGGCGGCACGGUAAACUUCUAAUGUUCCAUCCAGAAUAUCUUCCAGCAAUAUAUGUGAACAGAAAAAUGGUGACCUUUUGAAACAAUUAUAUGGUUCUAUAUAUCCAAAGGAAUUGACGCCAAUUAUUAUCCUGGAAAAGAGUGUUACCUGCCAUAGUGCUUCUUGCUGUACAAAUAUCCGAAUAUUAUAUUUUACACAUGUGACGCAAGUCUUAUUCGUUUGCAAAAAUAUGGUUGUACAAGAUGGAUGCGAACUCCGAAAACAAAAUUUGGGACAACUGCUAGCAUUCAACGAGAACGAAUAUGAAGACAACAUACCUGCCGAUGUACUAGAAUUCCUCAGUUGUAUCAAGAAAACCAAAAUUAAAACUGCUAUGUAAGAUCUCCAGAUAUUUGUGCAGAUUGAUUAUGUAAGCUACUCUGGAAACUUGGUGCUAACUUCCAUUUUCUCUCAACAGGACAUGUGCUAUUUAUGAAAAAUGAGCUUCUCUACUACUGGCUGGCAGCCCGUGAUGGUGGUUUUAGAUAUGAAGCUAAGGAAAGCGUGCCUCAUAAUUCAUUGGAUGGCCAAUUAGAUAUUGGUGGCUGUAAAUGACAUGAGUAUUUAGCUUUAAUAAAAUCUACUCCCUCCGUCCCAUAAUAUAAGAACAUUUUUGCUUGAAAAACGUUCUUGUAUUAUGGGAUGAAGGGAGUAGAUAUGUACUCUUGUGGAUGAGGCUGGUACUAAAUGUGCAUUGAAUUUACCAGCAUUGGUUAAUAUUGGUUUUACUGUCGACAUUGCAUAGUGAGUUUAUAUAAUUGAUACAAGUGAAGACAUAUUUUACAA